GCUGGUAUAUGAUUUUGCAGUUUAGUUUAGUUAUGUCAUGAAAUUUGGUGAGCAUAAGCUUGCGUAUUAUGAUUAGUGUAUUUUGGUCAUUUGUCUAAUGUUUAUUAGAGCAAAUUUCCGUCUGAGCGAUCCACAGUCUCUGACCGACUUUUUGUAUAGAAAAGUUUUAGUUUUAGAAUUUUUCAUGCAUCAUUUGCAACGGUGCAUGAAAAAUUCAUCCGUUUUGGUAAAGUUGUGUAGCGUUUGAAUUAUUUUUGUGAAUAUACGAUAAGCAUGCACUGAAAAAACAUUUAAAUUAGAAGGAUAGUUGAAAACACAAAUCAGCAGUACUGGCCUCACUGCACAGCUACGAACCACUCCCUUGGCAGACGCAGCUCGAACCAACGGAUACCUUCUUCCGGAUAACUGUCAAAAGCACAAAAUAAGAGAGAAGGAAUUGGAACAGUCUUUCUGACUUGAGCAUCCGUGUAAGAAACACGCAUGCGGGAACACCCGCAGCUGCACAGCAGAACUGCAGAGACUUAGUGUGUCGUCAGCAAAUCGGAACGACGAAACAAAAGCCGGAUCGAGAAGUUCCCCGCCACGGAGCACACGGACCCGAACAUACAAAGUGCGGAAGAGAAAGACGCCAGACACAUUCAUUGGAAACCCCAAAAGGGGUUUUUGUUUUUCCUUUUCAUCCUAUUCUGCGGAAUCAGUCAUCGACGACUGACUCGAUCUUGGUCCAACCAUCUUCAACGUGGACGGUUCCCUUCUACUUGGAGGUUAAGCGCGACUACACGGCAGAACACGAGGAGGAACCGAAAUUAUUACACUGUGGUUCUGGAAGCCGGAUUGAUUAGCCGAGAUCGUGAGUCACACACCGACAUCGAUCGUAUUUCCGACGGAGGCGUUUGGAAUAGUGGCCUCGUGCGAGACACAGGAGUUUUGAUUGGUGCGAUGAGAUUGGGUGCGAGCGUGACGUCAUCGCACUGAUAGUGAGUGAUUUGCUGAUCGCAAGCCGGAGAGUAAUUGGUCUUCGUCGCGGAUCGAUCUCCGACCAGACAGGCGCUUGCGGCUUAAUUACCGUUGCGUUGCGCGCAGAAUAUUGGAGUAAGAGCCGUAGCGGGAUUGUGGACUGAGCGAUUUCGAGCUUCGGACGAUAGUUGUUGGCAGUGCUGACAAUGACAUCGGUCGGAUAAGGACGAUGGGGAUUCGAUCGUCCAGUGAGCAAGGCUUCGGUACCGUGAGUAAAAGAUUUGUUGUGAGUUUAUGGAAGAUGAUAGCGUAGGAAAAUGAUAAUCAGGGUAAUAGAAAUGUGUAGAGCUGGAUAGCGAAAGAAGUGCUUUAGGUUUAGAGAAAGAAAGUGAGGAGGCGGAAAAGUAGAUUGGAGUACAUGCUCGAAAAUAUAUAAGCAAUAUGAAACGAUACACAAAAUGAUUUUAUUUGGGCUAGUUGGCUUUCCGUCGCCGAAGGAAGAAA